rnacentral:rRNA from 1 species
UACGGAGGAUGCAAGCGUUAUCCGGAAUGAUUGGGCGUAAAGCGUCCGCAGGCGGCUGUGUAAGUCUGCUGUCAAAGAGCGAAGCUCAACUUCGUAAAGGCAGUGGAAACUACACGGCUAGAGUGCGUUCGGGGCAGAGGGAAUUCCUGGUGUAGCGGUGAAAUGCGUAGAGAUCAGGAAGAACACCGGUGGCGAAGGCGCUCUGCUGGGCCGCAACUGACACUGAGGGACGAAAGCUAGGGGAGCGAAUGGG